rnacentral:miRNA from 1 species
CAAGCUCGAGUGUGCGGGUCUG